rnacentral:rRNA from 1 species
UUCGGAGGGGGCUAGCGUUGUUCGGAAUUACUGGGCGUAAAGCGCACGUAGGCGGCUUUGUAAGUUAGAGGUGAAAGCCCGGGGCUCAACUCCGGAAUUGCCUUUAAGACUGCAUCGCUAGAACGUCGGAGAGGUAAGUGGAAUUCCGAGUGUAGAGGUGAAAUUCGUAGAUAUUCGCAAGAACACCAGUGGCGAAGGCGGCUCACUGGCCCGAUACUGACGCUGAGGCGCGAAAGCGUGGGGAGCGAACAGG